rnacentral:tRNA from 1 species
CGGUAGGUAGUCUAAUUGGUGAAGGCACCAGACUGUAAAUCUGGCACCCAAGUGGUAAACAUUGUAGGUCCGAGUCCUACCCUGCCGACUA